rnacentral:rRNA from 1 species
AGAGUUUGAUCCUGGCUCAGGAUGAACGCUAGCGGCAGGCUUAACACAUGCAAGUCGUGGGGCAGCGCGGACUUCGGUCUGGCGGCGACCGGCAAACGGGUGCGGAACACGUACGCAACCUCCCUCAGAGCGGGGAAUAGCCUCUCGAAAGAGAGAUUAAUACCCCAUAGUAUCUUGAAGACACAUGUCUAUGAGAUUAAAGCUUCGGCACUUUGAGAUGGGCGUGCGGCUGAUUAGGUAGUUGGUAGGGUAACGGCCUACCAAGCCGACGAUCAGUAGCUGAUGUGAGAGCAUGAUCAGCCACACGGGCACUGAGACACGGGCCCGACUCCUACGGGAGGCAGCAGUGAGGAAUAUUGGUCAAUGGAGGAAACUCUGAACCAGCCAUGCCGCGUGGAGGAUGAAGGUCCUCUGGAUUGUAAACUCCUUUUAUAAAAGAAGAAACCCCAUUUUUCUAAAUGGGUUGACGGUACUUUAUGAAUAAGCACCGGCUAACUCCGUG